AGCGAACGCUGGCGGCAGGCCUAACACAUGCAAGUCGAACGAACUCUUCGGAGUUAGUGGCGGACGGGUGAGUAACACGUGGGAACGUGCCUUUUGGUUCGGAAUAACUCAGGGAAACUUGUGCUAAUACCGAAUGUGCCCUUCGGGGGAAAGAUAUAUCGCCAUUAGAGCGGCCCGCGUCUGAUUAGCUAGUUGGUGAGGUAACGGCUCACCAAGGCGACGAUCAGUAGCUGGUCUGAGAGGAUGACCAGCCACACUGGGACUGAGACACGGCCCAGACUCCUACGGGAGGCAGCAGUGGGGAAUCUUGCGCAAUGGGCGAAAGCCUGACGCAGCCAUGCCGCGUGAAUGAUGAAGGUCUUAGGAUUGUAAAAUUCUUUCACCGGGGACGAUAAUGACGGUACCCGGAGAAGAAGCCCCGGCUAACUUCGUG
rnacentral:rRNA from 1 species